rnacentral:rRNA from 1 species
AUUGAACGCUGGCGGAAUGCUUUACACAUGCAAGUCGAACGGUAGAGGGGGCAACCCCCUUGAGAGUGGCGAACGGGUGAGUAAUAUAUCGGAACGUGCCCAGUCGUGGGGAUAACGUAGCGAAAGUUACGCUAAUACCGCAUACGAUCUACGGAUGAAAGCGGGGGGACUCGCAAGAGCCUCGCGCGAUUGGAGCGGCCGAUAUCAGAUUAGGUAGUUGGUGGGGUAAAGGCUCACCAAGCCGACGAUCUGUAGCUGGUCUGAGAGGACGACCAGCCACACUGGGACUGAGACACGGCCCAGACUCCUACGGGAGGCAGCAGUGGGGAAUUUUGGACAAUGGGCGCAAGCCUGAUCCAGCAAUGCCGCGUGCAGGAUGAAGGCCUUCGGUUGUAACUGCUUUUGUACGGAACGAAACGGUGAGCUCUAAUACAGUUUG